UCCCUGGUGGUCCAGUGGUUAGGACUCUGUGCUUUUACUGCUGAAAGCCUGGGUUCAAUCCCCGGUCAGGGAA
rfam:Ovis aries breed Texel chromosome 2, whole genome shotgun sequence.